AUCCAGGAGCAAGUUGGUUCUGGCUUUCGAAGGACAUGUUUGCUUCCCUUUCUGCCUUGAUUGAAAGUUUCUGGAAGCCUUCCCAGCCUUGCAGAACUAUGAAAACUCUUCUACAUAAGAUAUAAUUAUUGGAACAGAUCAAUGAAGAAAUUACAAAAGACAAAAUAAUACACUUGAUCACCUAAGAUGGGGUCUCGCUCUGUCACCCAGACUGCGGGGAAGCAGCAUGAUCUCUGCUCACUGCAAGGUCCACCUCCCGGGUUCAGGCCAUUCUUCUGACUCAGCCUCCUGAGCAACUGGGAUUACAGGAGUGCACCACCACCCCCGGCUAUAUAUUUUUUUUCUCUGUUUGUUUUUUUAGUAGAGUCGAGGUUUCACCGUGUUAGCCAGGGUGGUCUCGAUUUCCUGACCUUGUGAUCUGCCCGUCUCGGCCUCCCAAACUGCUGGGAUUACCGGCGUGAGCCACUGUGCCCUGCUAACAAUUUUCUCACUCUAUAUUUUCUAAUACUAUGAAAUCAAUGAAUUAAGUUUG
ensembl:lncRNA NLGN4Y-AS1 NLGN4Y antisense RNA 1